CUGUGAUCAGGAACUUGAGCAGCUAACGUCAAGCUUGUCAGAAUGCCCUACUUUGCAAGACAUAAAACAGUGGCAAGUCGAGGAGCUUCAAGCAAUGAAUGGGGCAAGGGAGAGAAG